ACAUGUACCGUGAGGGAAAGUUGCAAAGCACUUUGAAGAGAGAGAUAAAGAGGACGAGAAACCGGUGAGCUGGAAACGGAUAGAGUCGGCGUAUCCUUCUAGUAUUCAUUUACUUUAUUUUGAUGUUGUGAUCUCUGAGCUCCAGUUUGGGACAGAGGGAAGCAGCAUAAUUUUCUGUGAUGCAUUUACUUGUUUGGUGCUUGGCGAUGUUUGGGCAGUUUUGUAUCCGCAGUUUUGAGGCCAGCUUGCUGGUACCCAAACGGUGUUAGCAUUAUUUGUCUUGGACAUUUGAGUAUGGCUUACGGUCAUUUAUCGGUUCGAUCAGGGUGUAAGUUACGGUCGCAUGCGACACGUGCUUUUCAAAUAGUUCGGUCCAGUUAAUGCUCUCGUACUCCUUCCCCAUGUAAAAGCCGGUCAUCUAUCCGACCCGUCUUGAAACACGGACCAAGGAGUUUAUCGUGUGCGCAAGUUUUUGGGUGUUAAAAACCUAAAAGCGAAAUGAAAGUAAAUGGCUCUUAGAGUCUGAUGUGCGAUCUUGUUAAAAAGUGCAGCAUGGCCCCAUUCUAACUGUUUACAGUAGGGUGGCGGAAGAGCGUACGCGGUGAGACCCGAAAGAUGGUGAACUAUUCCUGAGCAGGACGAAGCCAGAGGAAACUCUGGUGGAAGUCCGAAGCGGUUCUGACGUGCAAAUCGAUCGUCUGACUUGGGUAUAGGGGCGAAAGACUAAUCGAACCAUCUAGUAGCUGGUUCCUUCCGA
rnacentral:rRNA from 1 species